UGGUGUAAUAUUGUGGAUCUGACUUCAUGUGUCACUAAGAACAGGAGAUCCAAGACUGCUCUUCUGGGGAUGAGACUUGGAAGAAACCUCCAUCCUCAGGGAUUUGAAGAAGGUUAUACUGGAACCUGUGUGAAGGCUGAGACAACCGUCCCUUUUGUGGUGGCCUGAGGGGAUUUUCUUAAUCCCAAUGUUGCCCUGAAAUUUAUGUCCAGGAUUCAAAAAGUUUAGGACUGCUAAG
rnacentral:circRNA from 1 species